AGAGCGAACGCUGGCGGCAGGCCUAACACAUGCAAGUCGAGCGCCCGUAGCAAUACGGGAGCGGCAGACGGGAUAGUAACACGUGGGAACGCGCCCUUCGGUUCGGAAUAACUCAGGGAAACUUGAGCUAAUACCGAAUACGCCCUUACGGGGAAAGAUUUAUUGCCGAAGGAACGGCCCGCGUCCGAUUAGCUAGUUGGUGAGGUAAUGGCUCACCAAGGCUACGAUCGGUAGCUGGUCUGAGAGGAUGACCAGCAUCACUGGGACUGAGACACGGCCCAGACUCCUACGGGAGGCAGCAGUGGGGAAUAUUGGACAAUGGGCGCAAGCCUGAUCCAGCCAUGCCGCGUGGAUGAUGAGGCCUUAGGGUUGUAAAGUCCUUUUAACGGGAAGAUAAUGACGGUACCCGUAGAAUAAGCCCGGCUAACUUCGUGCCAGCAGCCGC
rnacentral:rRNA from 1 species